UGAGGAAUUUUGCGCAAUGGGAGCAAUCCUGACGCAGCAACGCCGCGUGGGUGAUGAAGGCCUUCGGGUCGUAAAGCCCUGUCAGGUGGGAAGAAUGUCCCGGGACUGAACAGGUUCCGGGAGUGACGGUACCACCAGAGGAAGCACCGGCUAACUCCGUGCCAGCAGCCGCGGUAAUACGGAGGGGGCCAGCGUUAUUCGGAAUUACUGGGCGUAAAGCGCGGGUAGGCGGUCCUGCAAGUCUGUGGUGAAAGCCCCGGGCUUAACCCGGGAAGUGCAUUGGAAACUGUGGGACUUGAG
rnacentral:rRNA from 1 species